rnacentral:lncRNA from 1 species
CCAAGGCAGGCAGGCAUCCUGUGGGCACACCACCAGGAACUGUACACUGUGGAAUACUGUAGCAUUAGGGCAAACGCACAAGGUGUCUGAAUAAUAAAACAAACGGUUGAGAGAGGUGUUUUCUGCAAAGACUGGUCUGGGAGAGAGGGGAGGGGACAGCUCGCGCUCUCUAAGGCUUUCUGGUGGGAACGAAAGGUUGAGCUUGAUGCCGGCGGAAAGUGCCCGCUGGGCCACUGCGCAGUCACAAGUGCUGAUCAAAGCCUCUGCUGCAGGCCGAAGGAACCUGGCAGUGACAGGCCGAAUCAAGGUACGGGUCUCGCCUUGACAAUGUUUGUAAACCUCUUGUUUCCACGAAUCAGUUUGAUCAGAGAUUUGCUGGGCCCGCGUGGCUGGUCUGAGCGGUGAUUAUUACAAUGCUGAUGAAUGGGGAUCGCGUUUCUUCUAAUAGUCGCCCCCUAUUUUCACAACCUCCCAUCGCUAACCCAAAAGCUCUUUGCCACGACCUCCACUAAUUGGACUGAUUAUUGCAAUAUGUUUUUGGGGAGGGCAGGGUGGCGGCGGGACGUGGCUUUUCCGUGGCCUACCCCGAGACAGGCCCGAAGUGGGUCGAUAAGUUACAUUCGUUCAGACAUGUCAUGUUGAGCAGACAGAGAGAACGAAUUAAAUCCAGGCGAUUGGUGUCUCUACUGUUUAAGGACAUAAGAAUGAGGGCCUAGGCAAUAAUUCAAUGUUUAUAUCUACCUUGUUACCCAAUAGGCCUACACAGGAAGGAUUAUUGGAAGGACUGAUGAGAUCUUGUCUUAAUGUACAGGCAGAAUAGGCGUUGGCCAAAAAGGUUCACGCAGUGGAUGAUAGGCUAUCACUAACACAGGUCUAGCUGGUUUUUAGAGCUGUUUUCAAAUUAGACCUAUACUAAGGAAUACGCCAUGUUAUUCUGUUCUCAUUAAGAAACAUAUCGAACUAUUGACACUAUGAGAAUAUAUGUAGCGCAAUGUUUUUCAGAUUUACAGAAUUACGCAUGCACUUUUUCUUGGUCAUUGGGCAUAAAUCUGAGAUCACAGAUGAGAUGUGCGCCCAAGGCAGGUGUGAGCGAACAAUGGAAGCAACAAGUGUCUUUCUUCAGCCUCUCCACCGGGGCUGGAGUGUGGGCCCUGGGCCGCUACUUAGACUGAUUCAUUCAAUCAUUUGAUUUGAUUCCUGCUUAUUUUCAGUGCUUGCUCGGUUACUUCACCAGUACACUGAGUCUAUUAUGCAUUUCCCCCCUCACAUGCUUAGCACGCACUAUACUUUGAAGUGGAGUGCUACUCCAAAUCUCCUGAUACUUCACGCUUGGCAACAUUUACUGUCCCAGGAGACCCAGGCUGCGCGUGACAUGUCAUGGACCUCUCUUGUCAGGGCGAUAGGCGACAUGUAGGCUUAAAGCGUGUGCAGUUUUGGAAACAAAUUUAGCCCCCUUAACUCUUGUGACAUACAAGGACAAAAUAUAGCCUAUGUUAUGGAUAAUUAAAUGUCUAAUGAUGUUAUAGCCUAUACCAGAGCCUCUGAAAGUGUGAUAUUAUUAUUAUUUGUAUUAUUUUAGGUCAGCGUCUGCGUAAAUUGCAUUUAAAAAUCCCUUUUCACAAACAACCCCAGUCUGAACCGCGUGCGUGACUGUUAUGCCUGGAAGAUGGCCUUUGAUGAGAGGAGAGCACCCGCGGUUUGCAUUUUUCCCUGCUGACCGGUCUACCUUUCCAAAAACAACAAUGCGUUAAGUUGUUUGAUAAGGAAACAAACUAUUGUCCACAAUGAUUCUCAUAAGGGCUAGGCUAGUCUAUAAAGUUUAUACUAACAAUAAGUACAAAUUUGGGUAAACAUAUAAACAAUUAAAAAAUAACCUUUAAGGGUAGACCUACUGUAACUUGCUAUAGGAACAAAGGGUCAGCUAUCAAUGAAUUACACACAUAUAUGAUUAUCAUGAAGAGGAAAAUGAAACACAUCCAUUAUUGUUGUUAUUUGGAUUGAUUGUUAUGCAAAAUUACUAAUUCAUUAGACAGUCCCUAGCAGUAGUACAUUCAAAUUGUAGCCUAUUCAAAUUUUGUUCUGCAGGUAGGACAGGUAUUGCAGGUAUUGCUAAUCACGUUCUGAUGACACUGUAGAAGGCACCACUGAGCCAGCAUGGCCCAUAGAGGGCACAUAAAACCUCAUGAUAACAGGCGCCAACAUUGUAAACUAUUUCUCAGGGGCCAAUGCAUCCAGUUCAAAGGCAGAUCAGCGAACUACAUGUUAAAAAAAAACGUACUUCAUUUACAUUUUAUUUUGGUCGUUCCUUGUGGCAAUAAACAUUGUGAUUUCAUUGUCAUCUUAUUUUGUCUAAUGACCUCUCACCCCCUUCAUGGCAUCCUUGUUAUUUUAGAUGUGAGACUAAGUCUAUAUACAGUAUAGAUUAUGAUUCUUGACACACAUGUUAACUUCCCUGACAUAUUGGUAAAUAUACAAAUGUUUAUAUUUCCACCUUUCAAGAAAAUAAACCAAACAAAUGUACAGUUUUUAGACUGAAAAUGUUUGCUCCAGACUGCUCCCACUUCAGACUGCUCCCACUUCAGACUGCUGCCACUUCAAACUGCUCCCACUCAGACUGCUCCCACUUCAGACUGCUCCCACUUCAGACUGCUCCCACUUCAGACUGCUCCCACUUAGACUGCUCCCACUUAGACUGCUCCCACUUAGACUGCUCCCACUUAGACUGCUCCCACUCAGACUGCUCCCACUCAGACUGCUCCCACUCAGACUGCUCCCACUCAGACUACUAGCACAGACUGCUCCCACUCAGACUGCUCCCACUUCAGACUUCUCCCACUUCAGACUGCUCCCACUCAGACUGCUGCCACUCAGACUGCUGCCACUCAGACUGCUGCCACUUCAGACUGCUCCCACUCAGACUGCUCCCACUUCAGACUGCUCCCACUUCAGACUGCUGCCACUUCAGACUGCUCCCACUUCAGACUGUUCCCACUCAGACUACUAGCACAGACUGCUCUCACUCAGACUGCUCUCACUCAGACUGCUCCCACUUCAGACUGCUCCCACUUCAGACUGCUCCCACUUCAGACUGCUCCCACUCAGACUGCUCCCACUUCAGACUGCUGCCACUCAGACUGCUCCCACUCAGACUGCUCCCACUCAGACUGCUCCCACUCAGACUACUAGCACAGACUGCUCUCACUCAGACUGCUCCCACUUCAGACUGCUCCCACUUCAGACUGCUCCCACUUCAGACUGCUCCCACUUCAGACUGCUCCCACUUCAGACUGCUCCCACUUCAGACUUCUCCCACUUCAGACUGCUGCCACUCAGACUGCUGCCACUCAGACUGCUCCCACUCAGACUACUAGCACAGACUGCUCCCACUCAGACUGCUCCCACUUCAGACUGCUCCCACUUCAGACUACUCCCACUUCAGACUGCUCCCACUCAGACUGCUCCCACUCAGACUGCUCCCACUCAGACUGCUGCCACUCAGACUGCUCCCACUCAGACUGCUCCCACUUCAGACUGCUCCCACUUAGACUGCUGCCACUCAGACUGCUGCCACUUAGACUGCUCCCACUUCAGACUGCUCCCACUCAGACUGCUCCCACUUCAGACUGCUGCCACUUAGACUGCUCCCACUCAGACUUGCUCCCACUCAGACUGCUCCCACUUCAGACUGCUGCCACUUAGACUGCUCCGAAUGUAGAGUUCCUGGGCUGGUGUGGUUCCACGUGGUCUGGGGUUGUGAGGUCAGUUGGAUGUACUGCCAAAGUCUCUAAAAUGGGGCAGCUUGUGGUAGAGAAAUUAACAUUCAAUUCUCUGGCAACAGCUCUUUUGGACAUUCCUGCAGUCAGCAUGCCAAUUGCACACUCCCUCAAAACUUGAGACAUCUGUUGCAUGGCUGUGUGACAAAAUUGCACAUUUUAGAGUGGCCAUUUAUUGUUCCCAGCACAAGGUGCACCUGUGUAAUGAUCAUGCUGUUUAAUCAGCUUCUUGAUAUGCCACACCUGUCAGGUGGAUGGAUAUUCUUGGCAAAGGAGAAAUGCUCACUAACAGGGAUGUAAACAAUUUUUUGCACAAAAUCUGAGAGCGAUAAGCUUUUUGUGCGUAUAGAACAUUUCUGGGAUCUUUUAUUUCAGCUAAUGAAAAAUGGGACCAACACUUUACAUAUUGCCUUUCUAUUUAUGCUCAGUAUAGAUUAAAUCACUGGGCAAUAAGGAAUGGGUUCUUUACAGUGCCUUCAUAAUAUCCUCUUCUUCCCCAUAUGGGUAUCGGUCAAGAUGGAUAGGUGUACCUGCUGAGUGGGACAGAAAAAGGCCUUUACCUGGGUGUCUAACAAGUAUUGUAGUAGGGUCAGCUAAGAGGGCUUCUACCCCAGAGGGCUUCUACCCCAGAGGGCUUCUACCCCAGAGGGCUUCUACUCCAGAGAGUUUCUACCCCAGAGGGCUUGUUACAAUCUGAUGCCAGCUUGUUGUGCUCUUUCCUCUCACAUAUGACUUCCUGUUCCAGUCUGGGAGGGUAUUGACUUCCUGUUCCAGUCUGGGAGGGUAUUGACUUCCUGUUCCAGUCUGGGAGGGUAUCUCUUUACAGAAGGCAGGUUGCUCUCUGGUUAAAUAAAUCUGUAUCAUCGCUUAAUGUUUUCCCCUUAUGCACGAACUGCAAAAAUCUCAGAAGCUGGAGACUCUUACCUCCCUCACUAGCUUUAAGCACCAGCUGUCAGAGCAGCUCACAGAUUACUGCACCUGUACAUAGCUCAUCUGUAAAUAGCCCAUCCAAUCUACCUCGUCCCCAUACUGUAUUUAUUUAUUUAUCUUGCUCCUUUGUACCCCAGUAUCUCAACAUGCACAUUCAUCUUCUGCACAUCCUACCAUUCCAGUGUUUAAUUAAUAUAUUGUAAUUACUUUGCCACCAUGGCCUAUUUAUUACCUUACCUCUCUUAUCCUACCUCAUUUGCACAUGCUGUAUAUAGAUUUUUCUACUGUAUUAUUGAUUGUAUGUUUGUUUAUUCCAUGUGUAACUCUGUGUUGUUGUAUGUGUCGAACUGCUUUGCUUUAUCUUGGCCAGGUCGCAUUUGUAAAUGAGAACUUGUUCUCAACUAGCCUACCUGGUUAAAUAAAAAAUGAAUAAAAAUAAAUUAAAAAAAUAAUGCAAGGUCCCCUUUAUAGCACAUGGUCUUUAUAUGCCCGGAAAGAUUUUAUUAACAUUGAUCAACAGUAAUUAGCUAUGUGCCUAAUUUGUAUCCAUUCCUGUCCUUGCAAUUUUACUGUGAUUUGGGGUUUCACUUGAAACUAGGAGUUCACGGGGUGUCACAAGCCAUAUGGCCAAUAAAUACUUCCAUGAUACAGUCAAUAGGCCUCCACUGGCACUGCACCAUAUAAGCACUCACUGCAGGACAUACUCUACAUGUUUUUGUCAUGCAGACCAUUAACCAACUGAACUUUACUCAUAAUCAUGCAAUGCUUUACUGUACUUUGAAGGACUGUUUUAUGUGUUUGCGUGCAGCAUUAAAUCAUGUUCGCCUUCUUCCAGUACAGUAAGUUCAUGAGUUCAAGACAACAGCAGUUAUUUCCUAGUUUUCUCCAUGUAGAGCAGAAUAGCAUACAUUAGAAUAACCAAUACAUUAUAACUUUAGAGUUUCUUACACCAAUCCAUCCAAUCCAUCUUACACCAAUCCAUCUUACACCAAUCCCUCCGUCUGACUAAUAUGUGUUUUUAGCAUCCAAAAUAAAUCUCUUUGUCUUUUUUUUUCAUAAUCAUAAUGAGUUCCUUCUCAAGCUCUCCGAUUGUCCAUCAAGCAUGUCAGUAUUUACAGUGGAGUGCCUUUAAUAAUGUAAUAUGAAACCACAUGUUGUAGAUAUUAGGCAAAACAUGUUUGCAUUGUAAAUGUACGUAUGCACACUUUUUUUAUAUGGAGUUGAAUUUUAUGAUUGCUUUUUAAUUCUGCCAGUCUGGCAAAUUAAACGCCUGCAAAAUUCAGGAAGUUAACAAUUACAAUCAAUUUGAGUGUGCAACCACAGCCAUACUGUCACGUCCUGACCAGUUAAGGGGUUAUUUGUUAUUGUAGUUUGGUCAUGACGUGGCAGGGGUGUGUUUGUUUAGAGUGUUUCGGGGUGUGUUGGGCAAUGUUCUGUUUUAAGAGGGGUGUUUGUUUAGAGUGUUUCGGGGUUUGUUGGGCUAUGUUCUGUUUUAAGAGGGGUGUUUGUUUAGAGUGUUUCGGGGUUUGUUGGGCUAUGUUCUGUUUUAAGAUGGGUGUUUGUUAAGAGUGUUUUCGGGGUUUGUUGGGUUAUGUUCUUGUUAGUCUAUUUCUGUGUUAGUUCUAGUAUGUCUAUUUCUAUGUGGUGUUUGUUGGGUUGACCUUCAAUUGGAAGCAGCUGCUCCUAGUUGCUUCUAAUUGAAGGUCCUAUUUAAGAGGGGUGUUUUUCUAUGGGAUUUUGUGGGUAGUUGUUCCUUGUUUAGUGUUUGUUGCACCUGACAGGACUGUUUCGUUUUGUUCUUUUUUGUAUACGUAUUUAGUUGUUUCGCCUUCUUCAAAAUAAAAAGAUGAGUAUACAUAUUCCUGUUGCGUUUUGGUCCAAUCCAUACGACAACCGACACAUACAGCAUUGAGGACUUACAGUGCCUUGCAAAAGUAUUCAUCCCCCUUGGCGUUUUUCCUAUUUUGUUGCAUUACAACUGGUAAUUUAAAUAGAUUUUUAUUUGGAUUUCAUGUAAUGGACAUACACAAAAUAGUCAAAUGGUAAAGUGAAAAAAAUAACUUGUUUAAAAAAAUUCAAAAGAAUUAAAUCGGAAAGUGGUGCGUGCAUAUGUAUUCAGCCCCUUUGCUGUGAAGCCCCUAAAUAAGAUCUGGUGCAACCAAUUACCUUCAGAAGUCACAUUAUUAGUUAAAUAAAGUCCAACUGUUGUCCAAUCUAAGUGUCACAUGAUCUGUCACAUGAAAUCAGUAAAUAUACACCUGUUCUGAAAGGCCCCAGAGUCUGCAACACCAAUAAGCAAGGGGCACCACCAAGCAAGCGGCACCAUGAAGACCAAGGAGCUCUCCAAACAAGUCUGGGAAAAAGUUGUGGAGAAGUACAGAUCAGGGUUGGGUUAUAAGAAAAUAUCAGAAACUUUGAAAAUCCAACGGAGCACCAUUAAAUCCAUUAUUAAAAAAUGGAAAGAAUAUGGCACCACAACAAACCUGCCAAGAGAGAGCCACCCACCAAAACUCACAGACCAGGCAAGGAGGUCGUUAAUCAGAGACGCAACAAAGAGACCAAAGAUAACCCUGAAGUAGCUGCAAAGCUCCACAGCGGAGAUUGGAGUAUCUGUCCAUAGGACCACUUUAAGUCGUACACUCCACAGAGCUGGGCUUUACAGAAGAGUGGCCAGAAAAAAGCCAUUGCUUAAAGAAUAAAAAUAAGCAAACGCAUUUGGUGUUCACCAAAAGGCAUGUGGGAGACUCCCCAAACAUAUGGAAUGUUUCUCACUUCUGCAGGUCAGUGUCACAUUCCGUCAUCAUUGAGGUGGAAUAGUGUGUUCGCUUGUGAACUUGAUGGUCAUUCUGCCUUUCAAUGUGGAUAAAAGUCACCUUGUUGGUGUGUGGUUAUGAUAUUCUUAUUUGAUAUUUCAAUAAUAUUGUUAUUAUAUUGUUAUUCUUCACGUUGGGUUAUUUAAACACUGUCAAUGAGCAGUAUGAAACGAUAAUUAAAUGUACAUUAGUUCAAGUUAAGUAAAUGAUACUGAUAUGUAGGCUAUGCUAACUUUUUCACAAUGAAUUCAUUUGGAUCAUUUGAAUUAUUGGUUUGGUAAAUACGCUUUUCAUCAUUCAGCAUUGUUCAUUUAAAACCAGACAAACCUGUCUUUAGCAAAUAGAUAAAUAUCUCAGCGGAAAGCCAUCAAGUAUUCAAAAAUAGGGACAUUUUAUGAGGCCCAAAUGAAACUGAUAUUGCGCUAUGACGAAUUCCUUGAUGAAAAUAACCCCCAUACAACUACUGAAUGUGCAACAACAUCAAACAGCACAGAAAUGUAGAAGGUGUAUCUGUUUCUAACGUUUUCAUGAGAUUGAUUAAUAGUUACGAUACUGCUUUUGUAACCAUUCUCUAGCUGUCUAUAGUCUACAGCAAAGCCACAUAUUUCAAUAUGUCUGUGGUCUACAGUAUAGUAUAUUGGCAUGUACAUACAUAUAGUGGGAGAGUAUAGGGUUUCUGUAGGAUGAGGCCUAGUGAAGACGUGCUUGUUUGCAUGCAGAGGAAAAGAUGGGCCUUUACGGGGAGAGGGGGAUUACUGUCAAUUGCUCACAGAUUGCAGUAAUGCCCAGAGCUCGGCCACCCACAUGCACGCAGAGACAAUUGCUACAUGUGUCCAUUCCACAUUGGCAACACGUGGCGCUUGCACGGGCAACACUAUCUUCAUUCUUUCUAAGCACUGCUGAGACUAAUAAUGAAAUAAGGGCCCUUCAUAUUGUCAUCUUAACUGUCAGGACCUGCUUCCAUCCAGCAGAUAAUAUUAAAUCACCAAGGAGAUGGGGAAGAGUUGACUCAUUUAAACCACAUGUACUUCCUGCUUUGGCUGGUGGAAAGGCACCGUGUUUAAAUUGUAUUGAAAACAAAUCUCACCUCAGUGAAGGAAUGGAGUGUGGGUGGACUACAGGUGUGGUAUCUGACUCUGACUCACGUGUGUGGCUCUUUAGCUCCAGUAGCGAGGACAGUAGAGGAGUCAACGCUUAGGCAUUAAAGCUGACUUUAAACCCUCAGGUCAGGGCACAUGAAAGACCUAAUCAUUGGGACUAAGAUCAGUCUGUCUGCACACCGUCUGCAGCUGGCACCGGAGGAGAGACAAGAUGGCAGGCUAUGUGUGUGUUUGCACACAUGUGCAUUAGUGUGUGUGUGUGAGUGCAUGCUUGUGUGAGAAAGACUGAGCCUCCAUGUGCAACAGAGCAUGUGUGCAAUAUACUGUACCAACCAACAGUAUAGAUAACCAAUUACCUUUCAACUCUAUUAGUAACGAGGCCUGUUGCCCCGAGAAAUCUGAGGAAGAAUGUGUUAACGGCUCUGUGUGAAGCUAUGGCUGGGAGGAGGAGGGGGGGAGGAUGUUGGGGAAAAGGUAAAGAACAGAAAAUAACACUCUAUAGAGUACAAAACCUUUGUCCAAAAAGUGGGGGAAUAUUUAUUAUGGCCAACUUCACUUAUGGCUUCCUGCAAGCGGCAGCCGGUGCUGUGUGCUCCACCUCGGGGAGCUGUGAGCAGGUUGGUUUGCAGGCCAGCCUCGACCCAUGCUGAGGAGGAAAGCCACCACAGUCAUAUUUACAUCAAGUACUGUAAUAUUAUCAAUAAAAGCCCGGAGCCAGGCACCUUGCUGUAACUCACUCCAGACAAGUGGCUGUGCAGCUGUUCUGGCUUCAUCCUCAGGGCAAGUGGGGGGGGGGGGGACAGGUGUCCCAGCCAAGCCAAGACUGCACAUGUCUCUGAUCCUGAGGUCAAUUGUGGCUUGUUGUCCUUUGUGUAAGAUUUGGCAACACGUCCAGGGAGUCUGAUAAGAUAAUAGGUGACAAGUGAAUUUGUGACUGGAGAAUUACAUUACAAGAUGAUUAGCCAAGUCCUGCUUUUUCAAGACAGCAACAGAGCACCAUUCGCCCAUUCUUACAAAACAAAACAUGAUACAUGUCCUUCGCUUUUUGGGAUAAAAUGAUGCAAAACAGCUACUAAUCUCAAUGAGGUAUCUGUCAUAUUCUUCUAAGUCAAGGGGUGUAUUUCAUUAGUUGAAAUUAUUGGAUAACUAACAGAGUGGCUUUAUUAACAUCAAAAGUAGAACACUAACAUGAUAUCGUAGUGAUGUUCAUCUCUGUCCUUGCUAGACGGUGUACUUGGCUUCCAGCAGCAGGCUAUCUGUAUGACCUCUUUACAUGACCUCAUCAGCCAGAGAUAACACUCCACCAGAGCUGGAGCAACAUGAAGAGCAUGUCUCACUGUGUCUCUAUUUGAACACACCACUGCGACCGUAACUCUGAAACAGAUCAUUUAAAAACAGAUCUAGGAAGUAAACACAAGGAUACAUGUACAUAAAUAUUCAGGGGCGCAACUUUGGUUUUAGAAGUGGGGGGUAUAACCUGGUGGGGGGUCUGAGGGUCCUCCUUCAGAAUGUUUUGGGCAUUUAAAGCUAAUUUCCAGAAUUUCUACACAAUCUAAUAUGACCUUUGGCCAUUCAAGCCAUCUCUAUUUAGAACAACAAAGUAAGCAAAAAUUCCUAGUCAUCAAGCUAGAUAUGAGAUCAUUAGUAAAUAUGUUUAAGUGAUUGAUAAGACUAAAUUAGAUCAAAGAUAAUUUUAUAAUCAAUAGUGUGUUGCACCUUUAACCAAUAGCCUAACAAAUUAACAACUUAAAGUUUGAAGACUUAACUUUUGAUAUUCUUUAAGACAACAUCUACUGUAUAUAUAAUUUCAGCCAGACCGCCCUGCCAGCCCAACCCCCACCAGUCUAGUCAAUAACUCAAUUCUCUUCCCAACAAUUUCCUUCCCAUCUUUUGUCUCAAGGAAAGGUUUGGAAAACAAAAGUUGAAUAAAAACACACAUCCACAUACACAUGAACACUCAGAAACAGGACAUCCUUCUUAUACAGUGAAGCCUUUUUCUUCUUAUCGCUCUAUACUUGACAACUUUGGAUUUGAAAUCAAACUAUGACUAUGAGGUUAAGGUGCAGACUGUCAGAUUGAAUGAGAAAGUUAAAGAAGCACAAAUAUCAUACCCCACCAUAAAAAUGCUAUCCUCCAUUGUCAUUGUAAUGGUGAGAGGAUAGCAUGUCUUCUCACUCAUCAUUAUACACGAUUCAUUUAGGAUUAUCCAUAGUCAUGGUAGCAUCCACAUUAAUGUAGAAGUGUUUAGAAACACAUGCUAUUCUUAUUUAUAAUAAAAGUGACUCCAAAAUGUCACAAUGCAUUAUUUACCAGUCAUUUCUAUUGGGCACAAAAUAAUCUGAAACAC